AAUGCCAGCUGAUGAAGACUGAGAGGCCGCGACCCAACACCUUUGUCAUACGCUGCCUGCAGUGGACCACAGUCAUCGAGAGGACCUUCCACGUGGAUUCUCCAGAUGAGAGGGAGGAAUGGAUGCGGGCCAUCCAGAUGGUCGCCAACAGCCUCAAGCAGCGGGCCCCAGGCGAGGACCCCAUGGACUACAAGUGUGGCUCCCCCAGUGACUCCUCUACGGCUGAGGAGAUGGAAGUGGCGGUCAGCAAAGCACGGGCUAAAGUGACCAUGAAUGACUUCGACUAUCUCAAACUCCUUGGCAAGGGAACCUUUGGCAAAGUCAUCCUGGUGCGGGAGAAGGCCACUGGCCGCUACUACGCCAUGAAGAUCCUGCGGAAGGAAGUCAUCAUUGCCAAGGUGCGUGCCCCGGGAAUUGCGCUCGCGGGCCUCUGUGGGGGCUGCGGUCUGGAGCCUGACCCUGAGGCCUGGACGCUUACCCGUGCUUUCUGCUGCUGUGGGCUUAUUUCCCCCACAAAUUCCCCCUAGUCAGAAAAGGGGGAGCCUGAGGCCCAGAGAGGAGCAGCAGGCCUUGCUGCUGAGUCCCCACCUCCACCCUCUGGUAGGGGCUGGGGGUGCCUGUGGAGAGAGCGAGCCUCGGGGCCCCACCCAGCAGGUACUGUCAAGGGAGGCUGGGGCCUGUUGGGGAGGACGUCGCUGUUGGGGAGGCCCGGGCUUUGCUCAGGGUAUCCCAGGUGGAGGCCAGGCCAGGAAUGGAAUUCUACUUUUUCCCUUAUUUCAAUUUUUUGUAGUGGAAGAUUCCAAAGACAUUCAAAAAUUUAAAAAGAAAAUAAAUAUUACGGACCCCCAUGUAGCCAUUGUCCAGUUUAACCAGUUAUCAGCGUUUAGCCAGCCUUGUUUCCUUAGCUCUGCCUGUCCCUCUUGUUCUGGAAUACUUUAAGGCCUGUCCUAGACA
rnacentral:sRNA from 1 species